rnacentral:rRNA from 1 species
UACGAAGGGGGCUAGCGUUGUUCGGAAUUACUGGGCGUAAAGCGCGCGUAGGCGGACAUUUAAGUCAGGGGUGAAAUGCCGGGGCUCAACCUCGGAACUGCCUUUGAUACUGGAUGUCUGGAGUUCGGGAGAGGUGAGUGGAAUUCCGAGUGUAGAGGUGAAAUUCGUAGAUAUCAGGAGGAACACCGGUGGCGAAAGCGGCUCACUGGCCCGAUAUUGACGCUCAUGUACGAAAGCGUGGGGAGCAAACAGG